rnacentral:lncRNA from 1 species
GCAAAAAUGAAAAGUAGAUCUCAACUCGUUCAAACUACCUUUGGAAUGCGAAGAAAUCUUCAUGCAAUACCUUUAUAGACUACUGAGCACAAAAAUGUUAUCAAAAAAUAACUUCCACAUCUUCUUUGUUUAUGUUGAGAUUUGAACCAUUGACCUCCUUACUUAUGAGAGUGUGCUUCCGAAAUAUGAAGAAAGCGUGUUUCUGAUUUUACACUUUUGUUAGUGAAGGCAUCUAACCAGAUUGUGACGCGUGGCAUUGUGGUGACCAUUUGAUUAAGUUCUAGACCCUUCUGGCUUUAUAUUCUCCCGAUGACUCUUUGACUAAGAGAUGAGAGAUUUUCUUGGGUUGUUGUUCAUCUUUUCCUCUCAUUCUCUCUUUGAGAACUCCUCAUUCUUCAUGAUUAGGGUUCGAGAUAUUAAGUGUUCCAGUUAUUAAAUCUUAGUGAAGAACUUGUAAUACUCUAGAUCUACAUAUUGUUGUACUGUGUUUGUGUGUUUGCGUACAAGAAUCCGAGUGAUUAGUGUAAGUAGUAGGGUUUCUGGAAGACCUGAAUGAUCUCCUUCGAGUUCUUAGUGGAGAGUGUUUUGAUUCUUGGUUAUUUUAAAAGAUACGUCUUUGUGGCUUGAUCUUUCUAAUUUUCUGGAACAUAUUUUGUAUUCUUGUUGGUGGUUUUUGGCUUUAAAGUGUAAUCAAGUUUAAUCCAUUUAUAAUGGAUGCUCAACAGGGAAUUAGGCGUUAGAAGCGGUUGUCGAACCUCUGGGGCUACAGUCGAAAAAAAAAUCCUUUUGUUGAUUUUCAUUUUUUGCACUUUACUGUUUGUUUAUUGGGUUUUGAAUCUUAGUUAAUCUUUAAGUGUUUCUCGACUUUUCAGUGGUAUUGGAGCCUAGUUUUCUAAAGGAUACCUGAUCUUCGAGUAAACUGGAUUUGAAACCUACCUCAAAUUUUGUGAACUUGAGCUGAAGGAAACUGAGUUUUUCGAACUCAUUUGGUGAGAUCUUUCCCAUACACCGUUGGUAAUUUUUACUUUAGAAUUUCCUGAAUUUUUCCCUUGAUUUACCGUGGGAUUGAUCUUUGUCCAAAGACUCUAAAGAGGUCUUCGAAAUCUGAGAUUACAACUCGGUGUAGGAAUGCAAUUGGUGGAUCUUGUUGAAGAAAUCAAUUGAGAUAUAGGAAUUGUUAUCUCUAUUUGUGUUCAUAUUCUUAUACUUAGUGUUGUGUGUUCACUAUUUAAGGAAACAUGUCGAAGAGCAUUAUUAUUGGACCUAACCUCUUAUCUGUACAUAGUCUUCUCAUUGUGUGUCUCUCUUUGUGUAUGAAGAACUGAAUUAGAAGAGAUAGCUUUGAGCACUAUAUUCUUGUACCUUUCUGACAAUUUGUCAGAUGUAUAGGGGAAACUAAAAUUAAAGGCUUAAUUUGCUAAAGAGCUUUGGACCAAAUUAAAAGCCUAAUAUGAGCCCAAGACUGUUUCUAAUAAAUAUUUUUUGCUUAAACAGUUUUUCUCCUUUAAGAUGAAUCCUUCUGUUGAUUUGGAUGAAAAUUUAGCUAGAUUUGCUAAGUUGACCCAGGAUCUUGCCAACUAUGAUGAAAAAUUAUCAAAUGAUCAGUUGGCUGUGGUCUUGUUAAAUAGUGAAAUGAAAGAUAUGAUCGAUAAUCGAAAUUGACACACUUCCAUAUCUCGUAAUUGAUCGGAUCAUGUUGACGAAGGGGUUAUAAU